ACGAACGCUGGCGGCGUGCCUAAUACAUGCCAGUUGAGCGCUGAAGGUUGGUACUUGUACCGACUGGAUGAGCAGCGAACGGGUGAGUAACGCGUGGGGAAUCUGCCUUUGAGCGGGGGACAACAUUUGGAAACGAAUGCUAAUACCGCAUAAAAACUUUAAACACCAGUUUUCAGUUUGAAAGAUGCAAUUGCAUCACUCAAAGAUGAUCCCGCGUUGUAUUAGCUAGUUGGUGAGGUAAAGGCUCACCAAGGCGAUGAUACAUAGCCGACCUGAGAGGGUGAUCGGCCACAUUGGGACUGAGACACGGCCCAAACUCCUACGGGAGGGAGCAGUAGGGAAUCUUCGGCAAUGGACGAAAGUCUGACCGAGCAACGCCGCGGGAGUGAAGAAGGUUUUCGGAUCGUAAAACUCUGUUGGUAGAGAAGAACGUUGGUGAGAGUGGAAAGCUCAUCAAGUGACGGUAACUACUCAGAAAGGGACGGCUAACUACGUG
rnacentral:rRNA from 1 species